rnacentral:misc_RNA from 1 species
GCUCGCCGCUCUCUGACCCUCGGCACCGCUCAUUUUCAAAGGAAAUAAAGAAUUUAAACUAAAAGAAAGAUUAAAGCCCUUACCGGAAUCUGAUCGGCGUCGGAAGAACUUGAGAAAACGAGAGGAUUUUGGGGUUGUUCGCGAGAGACUGAAAAUGGAAUAAGAGAGCAACUGGCUAACCCAGCCCCUAUUUAUACUCGUCCGAGCAUUUAAUGCUCACGAUGUUCCAGGCACUGCAUCGGUUAGCGGGACUCGCCAGCUGUUCUGACACGUCUCACGCAUAUUCCCAAGAUCGGUUAAUUAUAUAGUGGCAGAUCCAGGUGUUUCGAAUUACGGAUCGAAUAAGUGUCAUUCAGGUUAAGAACUAGAUCGGAUAAUCACAUUAGUGAUCGGAAAAUAAUCAAUGCAAUAAUAAUAAGAUGAUAAUCGACAAAAUAAAGUCUUUAUUUUCAAAAGAUCGGAUUACAUCAUUUGGGCGAUCUCUAGAGAUCGGAUUACAUUGAAAACAAAAUACAUUAUUUGGGCGAUCUCUAGGGACCGGAAUGUCACAUGGUGACUGAUCCAAAGGGGUGUCACCGACCAGAACCGAGGCGCUGUCGGAACACCCAAUGUGGAUCAGAAUCGCUGUCGGAACACUCAAUGUGAUGAGAAGCCGAAUGAACUCAGU